AACGCGAAGAACCUUACCAACCCUUGACAUGUCUGUCGCGAGUUUAGGAAACUAGACUUUUCGGUUCGGCCGGACAGAACACAGGUGCUGCAUGGCUGUCGUCAGCUCGUGUCGUGAGAUGUUGGGUUAAGUCUCGCAACGAGCGCAACCCCUACUUUUAGUUGCCAUCAGGUCAUGCUGGGCACUCUGAAAGAACUGCCAGUGAUAAGCUGGAGGAGGGUGGGGAUGACGUCAAGUCCUCAUGGCCCUUACGGGUUGGGCUACACACGUGCUACAAUGGUAGUGACAAUGAGAUGCAAGGUGGCGACGCUAAGCUAAACUCAAAAAUCUACCUCAGUUCGGAUUGCACUCUGCAACUCGAGUGCAUGAAGCUGGAAUCGCUAGUAAUCGUAGAUCAGCGUGCUACGGUGAAUACGUUCCCGGGUCUUGUACACACCG
rnacentral:rRNA from 1 species